rnacentral:rRNA from 1 species
AGAGUUUGAUCCUGGCUCAGAUUGAACGCUGGCGGCAGGCUUAACACAUGCAAGUCGAGCGGGGGAAGGUAGCUUGCUACCUGACCUAGCGGCGGACGGGUGAGUAAUGCUUAGGAAUCUGCCUAUUAGUGGGGGACAACAUCUCGAAAGGGAUGCUAAUACCGCAUACGUCCUACGGGAGAAAGCAGGGGACCUUCGGGCCUUGCGCUAAUAGAUGAGCCUAAGUCGGAUUAGCUAGUUGGUGGGGUAAAGGCCUACCAAGGCGACGAUCUGUAGCGGGUCUGAGAGGAUGAUCCGCCACACUGGGACUGAGACACGGCCCAGACUCCUACGGGAGGCAGCAGUGGGGAAUAUUGGACAAUG